CCACUAGAGGUGUUACUAGGCAGUGAUGUACACACUGCAUCGUCUCUGAAAGGGAUUAAAAUGCCUGUAGGAGAUGUUGUUGACAGUAGUGUCCCUCUAAGGCCAGAAUAGCUAAGCUGAAAGUAUAGCCCAGUGGUUCCCAAACUUUUUAGGUUUAAAAGGGACAAUGUAGGCACCCAGACCACUUCAGCCCAUUGAAGGGGUCUG